AGAGGAAACGGCUGGCCUCCAACUAUCUCAACAACCCCCUGUUCCUCACAGCGAGAGAACGAGAUCACCCACGAUGAGCACUGUGCCGCCUGCAAGCGAGGGGCCAACCUGCAGCCCUGCGGCACCUGCCCGGGGGCCUACCACCUCAGCUGCCUGGAGCCGCCCCUCAAGACGGCGCCCAAGGGCGUGUGGGUGUGCCCCAGGUGCCAGCAGAAGGCCUUAAAGAAAGACGAGGGUGUGCCCUGGACUGGGAUGCUGGCCAUCGUGCACUCUUAUGUCACCCACAAGACAGUCAAAGAAGAGGAGAAGCAGAAGCUGCUGCAACGAGGCAGUGAGCUGCAGAACGAGCACCAGCAGCUGGAGGAGCGGGACCGGCGGCUGGC
rnacentral:lncRNA from 1 species